CAAGCGGUGGAGCAUGUGGUUUAAUUCGAUGCAACGCGAAGAACCUUACCUACUCUUGACAUCCAGCGAACUUAGCAGAGAUGCUUUGGUGCCUUCGGGAACGCUGAGACAGGCGCUGCAUGGCUGUCGUCAGCUCGUGUUGUGAAAUGUUGGGUUAAGUCCCGCAACGAGCGCAACCCUUAUCCUUUGUUGCCAGCGAUACGGUCGGGGACUCAAAGGAGACUGCCGGUGAUAAACCGGGGGAAGGUGGGGAUGACGUCAAGUCAUCAUGGCCCUUACGAGUAGGGCUACACACGUGCUACAAUGGCGCAUACAAAGAGAAGCGACCUCGCGAGAGCAAGCGGACCUCAGAAAGUGCGUCGUAGUCCGGAUCGGAGUCUGCAACUCGACUCCGUGAAGUCGGAAUCGCUAGUAAUCGUGGAUCAGAAUGCCACGGUGAAUACGUCCCCGGGCCUUGUACACACC
rnacentral:rRNA from 1 species